AUUGAACGCUGGCGGCAUGCCUUACACAUGCAAGUCGAACGGCAGCACGGGAGCAAUCCUGGUGGCGAGUGGCGAACGGGUGAGUAAUAUAUCGGAACGUGCCCAGUCGUGGGGGAUAACGUAGCGAAAGCUACGCUAAUACCGCAUACGAUCUAUGGAUGAAAGCGGGGGAUCGCAAGACCUCGCGCGAUUGGAGCGGCCGAUAUCAGAUUAGGUAGUUGGUGAGGUAAAGGCUCACCAAGCCGACGAUCUGUAGCUGGUCUGAGAGGACGACCAGCCACAGUGGGGCUGAGACACGGCCCAGACUCCUACGGGAGGCAGCAGUGGGGAAUUUUGGACAAUGGGCGCAAGCCUGAUUCAGCAAUGCCGCGUGCAGGAUGAAGGCCUUCGGGUUGCAAACUGCUUUUGUACGGAGCGAAAAGGCUUCCACUAAUACUGGGGGCUCAUGACGGUACCGUAAGAAUAAGCACCGGCUAACUACGUGCCAGCCGCCGCUGUAAUAC
rnacentral:rRNA from 1 species